rnacentral:rRNA from 1 species
CCUGGCGGCAGUAGCGCGGUGGUCCCACUGACCCCAUGCCGAACUCAGAAGUGAAACGCCGUAGCGCCGAUGGUAGUGUGGGGUCUCCCCAUGCGAGAGUAGGGAACUGCCAGGC